GGGACGAACGCUGGCGGCGUGCUUAACACAUGCAAGUCGAGCGGUAAGGCCUUUCGGGGUACACGAGCGGCGAACGGGUGAGUAACACGUGGGUGAUCUGCCCUGCACUCUGGGAUAAGCCUGGGAAACUGGGUCUAAUACCGGAUAUGACCUGCUCUCGCAUGGGGGUGGGUGGAAAGAUUUAUCGGUGCAGGAUGGGCCCGCGGCCUAUCAGCUUGUUGGUGGGGUAAUGGCCUACCAAGGCGACGACGGGUAGCCGACCUGAGAGGGUGACCGGCCACACUGGGACUGAGACACGGCCCAGACUCCUACGGGAGGCAGCAGUGGGGAAUAUUGCACAAUGGGCGAAAGCCUGAUGCAGCGACGCCGCGUGAGGAUGAAGGCCUCGGUUGUAAACUCUUCAGCAGGACGAAGCGUGAGUGACGGUACCUGCAGAAGAAGCACCGGCUAACUACGUGCUAGCAGCCGC
rnacentral:rRNA from 1 species